rnacentral:rRNA from 1 species
AGAGUUUGAUCCUGGCUCAGAUUGAACGCUGGCGGAAUGCUUUACACAUGCAAGUCGAACGGCAGCACGGGAGCUUGCUCCUGGUGGCGAGUGGCGAACGGNNNNNNNNNNNNNNNNNNNNNNNNNNNNNAUGGGGGAUAACUAGUCGAAAGAUUGGCUAAUACCGCAUACGCCCUGAGGGGGAAAGCGGGGGAUCGUAAGACCUCGCGUUAUUAGGGCGGCCGAUUUCUGAUUAGCUAGUUGGUGGGGUAAAGGCCUACCAAGGCGACGAUCAGUAGCCGGCCUGAGAGGGUGAACGGCCACACUGGGACUGAGACACGGCCCAGACUCCUACGGGAGGCAGCAGUGGGGAAUCUUCCGCAAUGGACGAAAGUCUGACGGAGCAACGCCGCGUGUAUGAUGAAGGUCUUCGGAUUGUAAAGUACUGUCUUUGGGGAAGAACGGUAUGCUUGAAAAUAUUGAGCGUACAUGAGGUAAGAUAUGAAUAAGCACCGGCUAACUCCGUGCCAGCAGCCGCGGUAAUACGGAGGGUGCAAGCGUUGUUCGGAAUUAUUGGGCGUAAAGCGCGUGUAGGCGGUUUGUUAAGUCUGGUGUGAAAGCCCUGGGCUCAACCUGGGAAGUGCAUUGGAUACUGGCAGACUUGAAUACGGGAGAGGGUAGUGGAAUUCCUAGUGUAGGAGUGAAAUCCGUAGAUAUUAGGAGGAACACCGGUGGCGAAGGCGGCUACCUGGACCGAUAUUGACGCUGAGACGCGAAAGCGUGGGUAGCAAACAGGGAUUAGAUACCCUGGUAGUCCACGCCGUAAACGAUGAGUGCUAGGUGUAGAGGGUAUCGACCCCUUCUGUGCCGCAGUUAACACAAUAAGCACUCCGCCUGGGGAGUACGGCCGCAAGGUUGAAACUCAAAGGAAUUGACGGGGGCCCGCACAAGCGGUGGAGCAUGUGGUUUAAUUCGACGCAACGCGAAGAACCUUACCAGGGCUUGACAUCCUACGAAUUCUUAGGAAACUAGGGAGUGCCCUUCGGGGAGCGUAGAGACAGGUGGUGCAUGGUUGUCGUCAGCUCGUGUCGUGAGAUGUUGGGUUAAGUCCCGCAACGAGCGCAACCCCUGUGUUUAGUUGCUAACGAGUAAGGUCGAGCACUCUAGACAGACUGCCGGUGAUAAACCGGAGGAAGGUGGGGAUGACGUCAAAUCAUCAUGCCCCUUAUGUCCUGGGCUACACACGUGCUACAAUGGCCGGUACAGACGGAAGCAAAGCCGCGAGGUGGAGCAAAUCCGAGAAAGCCGGUCUCAGUUCGGAUUGCAGGCUGCAACUCGCCUGCAUGAAGUCGGAAUCGCUAGUAAUCGCAGGUCAGCAUACUGCGGUGAAUACGUUCCCGGGCCUUGUACACACCGCCCGUCACACCACGAAAGUCUGCAACACCCGAAGCCGGUGAGGUAACCCGAAAGGGAGCUAGCCGUCGAAGGUGGGGCCGAUGAUUGGGGUGAAGUCGUAACAAGGUAACC